AUUGAACGCUGGCGGCAGGCUUAACACAUGCACGUCGAGCGAGCGGCGGACGGGUGAGUAAUGUCUGGGAAACCGCCUGAUGGAGGGGGAUAACUACUGCAAACGGUAGCUAAUACCCCAUACCAUCAGAUGUGCCCAGAUGGGAUUAGUUAGUAGGUCGGGUAAUGGCUCACCUAGGCGACGAUCCCUAGCUGGUCUGAGAGGAUGACCGGCCGCACUGGGACUGAGCGACGGUCCAGACUCCUACGGGAGGCAGCAGUGGGGAAUAUGGCACAAUGGGCGCAAGCCGGAUGCAGCCAUGCCGCGUGUGUGAAGAAGGCCUUCGGGUUGUAAAGCACAGUCAGCGGGGAGGCGUUACUCGCAGAAGAAGCACCGGCUAACUCCGUGCCAGCAGCCGCGGUAAUUC
rnacentral:rRNA from 1 species